rnacentral:rRNA from 1 species
GUCUUUUUGAGAAUAAUUUAAAGUCUAAUCUGCCCACUGAAUUAAUUUAAAGGGCUGCAGUAUAUUGACUGUACAAAGGUAGCAUAAUCAAUAGUCUUUUAAUUGAAGACUUGUAUGAAUGAUUUGAUGAGAUAUAAACUGUCUCUUUAUUAUAAAUUGAAAUUAAUUUUUUAGUUAAAAAGCUAAAAUAAUUAUAAAAGACGAGAAGACCCUAUAGAGUUUAAUAACUUUUUUUAUUUUAAUUUUGUAUAAAAUUUAAAAUUAAAAUAAAAAAAGUUAUUUUGUUGGGGUGAUAGAAAAAUUAAAAAAACUUUUUUUAAAAAAAAAUUACAUUAAUUUAUGAAUAAAUGAUCCAUAAUUUAUGAUUAUAAGAAUAAAUUACCUUAGGGAUAACAGCGUAAUUUUUUUUUUUAGUUCAAAUAAAAAUUAAAGUUUGCGACCUCGAUGUUGGAUUAAGAUAAAAUUUAAAUGCAAAAGUUUAAAAUUUUGAUCUGUUCGAUCAUUAAAAUCUUACA